rnacentral:tRNA from 4 species
GCCUUCGUAGCUCAGUGGUAGAGCGCUUCCAUGGUAAGGAAGAGGUCUCGGGUUCAAUCCCCGACGAAGGCUCCA